rnacentral:rRNA from 1 species
CCUACGGGUGGCAGCAGUGAGGAAUAUUGGUCAAUGGCCGGAAGGCUGAACCAGCCAAGCCGCGUGAGGGAGGAAGGCGCAGAGCGUCGCAGACCUCUUUUGCCGGGGGACAAAAGGCCGGACUCGUCCGGUCCUGAGGGUACCCGGAGAAAAAGCAUCGGCUAACUCCGUGCCAGCAGCCGCGGUAAUACGGAGGAUGCGAGCGUUAUCCGGAUUCAUUGGGUUUAAAGGGUGCGCAGGCGGAAGAUCAAGUCAGCGGUAAAAUUGAGAGGCUCAACCUCUUCGAGCCGUUGAAACUGGUUUUCUUGAGUGAGCGAGAAGUAUGCGGAAUGCGUGGUGUAGCGGUGAAAUGCAUAGAUAUCACGCAGAACACCAGUGGCGAAGGCGGCUUACUGGACUGUAACUGACGUUGAGGCUCGAAAGCGUGGGGAGCAAACAGGAUUAGAUACCCCUGUAGUC